CCGGUUCUGAGGUUUACAGCAAACUUCUCAGAGCACAUGGGCAAUUUUCCCCAAGCCCUUGAAAUGAAAGACAAAGAAAGCAGAGUGACAGGGCAUCUGUGGAGAAAGGGCUUGCUGGGCAGGCCAGGCCAAUUAGCUGCUUUCCACCCCUGAGCUCUCUGUGGUGGUCUUCCAGUGUUUGGUGGGGAGGGGAGGGGAGCCAUGGGGCCUGGCGUGCCUGACACCCAAUUAGUGCUCAUUCACCAACUGACCAGCCCAGCUGGCUGGCCUGCUCCCUUCCAGCUGCUCAGCAGCCGGCUCCAACAGCUCUAAGAACAGGGGGUGCUAAUUGGAUGCUGAAACCCAGCCGCUUCUCCAUCCGCCCAGCCCAGCCUUGUGAAGGCCGCGGCUUUCUUGGCCAAGCUCCUGCCCCUGGUUCCGCUGUCAACUCAUCCUCCCUGGGAAAAUGCCGCUCCUCUCAAGUAGAAAUGUAACAGCCAGCGCUGCAGCUUCCACCAGAAUUCUUGAAGAGCCCAAGUCAAGGCAGAAGCAAGGACUGUAAUCCUGUAAAAGAAGGAAAAUCCAGGUACUGCCUUGAAGGAGAGGCAAAUUUUCAUGGGGAGAAGUGAAGUGGAGUAUGCAAAGAGAAGGAGAUCCAGGCAGAGGACACAGCAUGGGCAAAGGACUGGAGAUGUGCAUAUUCGUGAAGUGCUUGGGAAGUGGCAGGAAACAUGAAGCUGGAGGCAGCUCCUGCUCUUGAGGAGUUCUCAGUCCACUGAACACAACCACUGCAGCCCAAACUGAGAAGCACCAGAAGAGAUGUUGCUGGGGACUUAAGUGAAGGGAGAGGCCACAUCUCACUUGGGUGAACAUGGAAGGCUUUGUAGCAGCCCUGGCAUUGGAGG
rnacentral:lncRNA from 1 species